rnacentral:rRNA from 1 species
GAUGAACGCUGGCGGCGUGCCUAAUACAUGCAAGUCGAGCGAACAGAUGAGGAGCUUGCUCCUCUGACGUUAGCGACGGACGGGUGAGUAACACGUGGAUAACCUACCUUUAAGACUGGGAUAACUUCGGGAAACCGGAGCUAAUACCGGAUAAUAUAUUGAACCGCAUUGUUCAAUAUGGAAAGACGGUUUUGCUGUCACUUAUAGAUGGAUCCGCGCCGGAUUAGCUAGUUGGUAAGGAAACGGCUUACCAAGGCAACGAUGCGUAGCCGACCUGAGAGGGUGAUCGGCCACACUGGAACUGAGACACGGUCCAGACUCCUACGGGAGGCAGCAGUAGGGAAUCUUCCGCAAUGGGCGAAAGCCUGACGGAGCAACGCCGCGUGAGUGAUGAAGGUCUUCGGAUCGUAAAACUCUGUUAUUAGGGAAGAACAAAUGUGUAAGUAACUAUGCACGUCUUGACGGUACCUAAUCAGAAAGCCACGGCUAACUACGUG